ensembl:lncRNA
CUUGGAGCUUAGGUGGAGGAUGCCUUCCCUAAUAGUAAGGGCUUAAAGAGCACAAAGAUGAAGGGACUCGACAGAAAUGGGCUUUUUGUUCUUCCUGGUGAUAGAGAACAGCAGGGAAGGGCUGGAGCUCCGUGCCUGGUGACUUUCCGACACUGGAAGAGGUGGCAAUGUCAUCUACAUUCUUCCUCUCUCUGGCCUGGUCUGCUCAGGACCUCUCUCAGGAUCAGGAUGGUGAAGCUCCAGGGUCUCAGGAGAUGGCAGGCCUGGCAGUCAUGAUGGUGAAGUUCAUUCCAGUAGCCAAUUUUUUCUCCCAGAGUCUCUUUCUUUAAGGACCCCAAAGAGGGUGAUGCACGGAAUAGCCCAUCUCUUAUUAUUGUGUCCACCAGUUAGGCCUAGUUUUCACCACACUAAUUUUGUUUAACUGGUUUCUGAUUCCACACUUUUCUUGUCCACCAGGCAUGACCUUAACAUAGUCCUUGAGUUACAUCAGGAGGCCUUUUUGCUUGGAUUAAAUCAGUCUGUCUGUCUCCCUUUCGUACCUUUCCCCACUAACAUUUGCUAGUUUUGGUUGUUGUGACAUCUUAUGAACUUACACUAACUUUUGACAAUUGAACCCGCAAUGAAUGCACUGUUGUGAUAACUGGACCUAUCUGCACCAACCGCUGGGCAUCCGGCCAUCGUAAAAACUGAGCCAGCAUGCAUCCCCUUCCCCUCUUCUCCCUGUGAUCACUCUAUAAAAAGUUCUGAUUUAAGGGAGGUGCCACAGUAUGUAUUUUUUGUACCAAUAGGUUUACCAUACGUCCAUAUUUUCCUCCUGGAUGGCGAUUUAAGAACCACUCUGCUUAAUCCUGAUGUGUCUAGCCCUGGGGAGGAUCAGAGUCCCAGCAUGGGGCCUGGGACAAACCCCCAGCAAGGCACUCAGGGGGAGGGAUAGUUCAGUGGUAUGAGCAUUAGCCUGCUAAACCCUGAGUUAGAAGUUCAAUCUUUGAGGGGGCCGUUUAGGGAACUGGGGUAAAAAUCUGUCUGGGGAUUGGUCCUGCUUUGAGCAAGGGGUUGGACUAGGUGACCUUCUGAAGUCCCUUCCAACUCUAAUCUUCUAUGACUCCCUGUCCAUCCCUUCUCUCUAUGUCAGGGGUAGAUAACCUAUAGCAUGUGUGCCAAAGGCAGCACACAAGCUGAUUUUCAGGGGCAGUCACACUGCCUGGGUCCUGGCCACCAGUCUAGGGGGGCUCUGCAUUUUAAUUUAAUUUUAAAUGAAGCUUCUUAAACAUUUUUA